UACGUAGGGCGCAAGCGUUGUCCGGAAUCACUGGGCGUAAAGCGCACGUAGGCGGACUCUUAAGCCGGUGGUGAAAUCCUGGAGCUCAACUCCAGAACUGCCUUCGAUACUGAGAGUCUCGAGUCCGGGAGAGGUGAGUGGAACUGCGAGUGUAGAGGUGAAAUUCGUAGAUAUUCGCAAGAACACCAGUGGCGAAGGCGGCUCACUGGCCCGGUACUGACGCUGAGGUGCGAAAGCGUGGGGAGCAAACAGG
rnacentral:rRNA from 1 species